GAGUUUGAUCAUGGCUCAGGACGAACGCUGGCGGCGUGCUUAACACAUGCAAGUCGAACGGAAAGGCCCAACUUUGUUGGGUGCUCGAGUGGCGAACGGGUGAGUAACACGUGGGUGAUCUGCCCUGCACUUUGGGAUAAGCCUGGGAAACUGGGUCUAAUACCGGAUAGGACUACGAAUCGCAUGGUUUGUGGUGGAAAGCUUUUGCGGUGUGGGAUGGGCCCGCGGCCUAUCAGCUUGUUGGUGGGGUGAUGGCCUACCAAGGCUGCGACGGGUAGCCGGCCUGAGAGGGUGUCCGGCCACACUGGGACUGAGAUACGGCCCAGACUCCUACGGGAGGCAGCAGUGGGGAAUAUUGCACAAUGGGCGCAAGCCUGAUGCAGCGACGCCGCGU
rnacentral:rRNA from 1 species